GCCUGAGAUUGGUUUUGGACCGUCGGAUCAUGCAAAAGAGUUCUAUUCAAAGUCGGCAACGAGUCUGGACCGUCGGAUCUGAUGAUGGAUGCAUUUUCGACCAUUAGAUCACGCAAAACUUUCCCUUAUAAAUAGAUGGCAAACAGCGGCCGUUCGAUCUCCCUUAGUUUGAAUCCUGACCAUCCGUUCAUGAAAAAUACCUUCUGCCUGCUAUGAGCCGCACUUGUGAACCACAUGAAAUUUUUGAUGGACCGCGCCCUGAUUUCGUGGACCGGCCGACCGGUCCACCGUGCACC
rnacentral:lncRNA from 1 species